rnacentral:misc_RNA from 1 species
GAUGAAGAACGUAGUGAAAUGCGAUAAUUAAUGUGAAUUGUAGAAUUCAGUGAAUCAUCGAGUCUUUGAACGCACAUUGCGCCCCCUGGUAUUCCGGGGGGCAUGCCUGUCCGAGCGUCAUUGCUGCCCUCAAGCACGGCUUGUGUGUUGGGCUUCCGUCCCUGGCAACGGGGACGGGCCCAAAAGGCAGUGGCGGCACCAUGUCUGGUCCUCGAGCGUAUGGGGCUUUGUCACCCGCUCCCGUAGGUCCAGCUGGCAGCUAGCCUCGCAACCAAUCUUUUUAACCAGGUUGACCUCGGAUCAGGUAGGGAUACCCGCUGAACUUAAGCAUAUCAAUAAGCGGAGGA